rnacentral:rRNA from 1 species
AGGACGAACGCUGGCGGCGCGCUUAACACAUGCAAGUCGAGCGAGAACCCAGGCUUCGGCCUGGGGGAAAGCGGCGAACGGGUGAGUAACACGUGGGUAAUCUGCCCUCGACAUCGGGAUAGCCCGGGGAAACCCGGAUUAAUACCGAAUAGCCCAACAGCUUUUCGGAGCGGUUGGAAAAGGUAGCUUUGGCCUCCGGUCGAGGAGGAGCUCGCGGCGGAUUAGCUUGUUGGUGAGGUAACGGCUCACCAAGGCGUCGAUCCGUAGCUGGUCUGAGAGGACGAUCAGCCACACUGGGACUGAGACACGGCCCAGACUCCUACGGGAGGCAGCAGUGGGGAAUCUUGCGCAAUGGGCGAAAGCCUGACGCAGCGACGCCGCGUGAGGGAAGAAGGCCUUCGGGUUGUAAACCUCUUUCAGGAGGGACGAAGCCGCUCGGGUUAAUAGCCCAGAGGGUGACGGUACCUCCAGAAGAAGCCCGGCUAACUACGUGCCAGCAGCCGC